rnacentral:rRNA from 1 species
AACUUUCAACAACGGAUCUCUUGGUUCUGGCAUCGAUGAAGAACGCAGCGAAAUGCGAUAAGUAGUGUGAAUUGCAGAAUUCAGUGAAUCAUCGAAUCUUUGAACGCACAUUGCGCCCCUUGGUAUUCCAAAGGGCAUGCCUGUUCGAGCGUCAUUU